rnacentral:rRNA from 1 species
GACGAACGCUGGCGGCGUGCUUAACACAUGCAAGUCGAACGGAAAGGCCCUGCUUUUGUGGGGUGCUCGAGUGGCGAACGGGUGAGUAACACGUGAGUAACCUGCCCUUGACUUUGGGAUAACUUCAGGAAACUGGGGCUAAUACCGGAUAGGAGCUCCUGCUGCAUGGUGGGGGUUGGAAAGUUUCGGCGGUUGGGGAUGGACUCGCGGCUUAUCAGCUUGUUGGUGGGGUGGUGGCUUACCAAGGCUUUGACGGGUAGCCGGCCUGAGAGGGUGACCGGCCACAUUGGGACUGAGAGACGGCCCAGACUCCUACGGGAGGCAGCAGUGGGGAAUAUUGCACAAUGGGCGGAAGCCUGAUGCAGCAACGCCGCGUGCGGGAUGACGGCCUUCGGGUUGUAAACCGCUUUCGCCUGUGACGAAGCGUGAGUGACGGUAAUGGGUAAAGAAGCACCGGCUAACUACGUG